rnacentral:rRNA from 1 species
UACGUAGGCAGCAAGCGUUGUUCGGAGUUACUGGGCGUAAAGAGUGUGUAGGCGGUGCUCCAAGUCUGGUGUGAAAUCUCCCGGCUUAACUGGGAGGGUGCAUUAGAAACUGGAAUGCUAGAGGAUGGGAGAGGUAAGCGGAAUUCCUGGUGUAGCGGUGAAAUGCGUAGAUAUCAGGAGGAACACCUGUGGUGUAGACAGCUUACUGGACCAUUUCUGACGCUGAGACACGAAAGCGUGGGUAGCAAACAGG